rnacentral:rRNA from 1 species
AUUGAACGCUGGCGGCAGGCCUAACACAUGCAAGUCGAGCGGAUGAAGGGAGCUUGCUCCUGGAUUCAGCGGCGGGCGGGUGAGUAAUGCCUAGGAAUCUGCCUGGUAGUGGGGGAUAACGUCCGGAAACGGGCGCUAAUACCGCAUACGUCCUGAGGGAGAAAGUGGGGGAUCUUUGGACCUCACGCUAUCAGAUGAGCCUAGGUCGGAUUAGCUAGUUGGUGGGGUAAAGGCCUACCAAGGCGACGAUCCGUAACUGGUCUGAGAGGAUGAUCAGUCACACUGGAACUGAGACACGGUCCAGACUCCUACGGGAGGCAGCAGUGGGGAAUAUUGGACAAUGGGCGAAAGCCUGAUCCAGCCAUGCCGCGUGUGUGAAGAAGGUCUUCGGAUUGUAAAGCACUUUAAGUUGGGAGGAAGGGCAGUAAGUUAAUACCUUGCUGUUUUGACGUUACCAACAGAAUAAGCACCGGCUAACUUCGUG